rnacentral:rRNA from 1 species
AGAGUUUGAUCAUGGCUCAGGACGAACGCUGGCGGCGUGCCUAACACAUGCAAGUCGGACGGAGCAGCUUUCCAGCUUGCUGGAGAUCCUGCUUAGUGGCGAACGGGUGAGUAACACGUGGGCAACCUGCCCGGAAGACCGGGAUAACAACCCGAAAGGGUUGCUAAUACCGGAUAUCUACAAUAAGUCGCAUGACUUUUUGUAGAAAGGUUAAUUCCGCUUCCGGAUGGGCCCGCGUCCCAUUAGCUAGUUGGUGAGGUAACGGCUCACCAAGGCGACGAUGGGUAGCUGGUCUGAGAGGACGAUCAGCCACACUGGAACUGAGACACGGUCCAGACUCCUACGGGAGGCAGCAGUGGGGAAUCUUGCGCAAUGGGCGAAAGCCUGACGCAGCAACGCCGCGUGAACGAUGAAGGCCUUCGGGUCGUAAAGUUCUGUCAGGGGGGACGAAUAAUGACGGUACCCCCAGAGGAAGCCCCGGUUAACUACGUGCCAGCAGCCGCGGUAAUACGUAGGGGGCAAGCGUUAUCCGGAAUUAUUGGGCGUAAAGAGUGCGUAGGUGGUUACCUAAGCGCAAGGUUUAAUCUUGAGGCUCAACCUCAUUUUGCCUUGCGAACUGGGCUACUUGAGUGCAGGAGGGGAAAGCGGAAUUCCUAGUGUAGCGGUGAAAUGCGUAGAUAUUAGGAAGAACACCGGUGGCGAAGGCGGCUUUCUGGACUGUAACUGACACUGAGGGCACGGAAGCGUGGGGGAGCAAACAGGAUUAGAUACCCUGGUAGUCCACGCCGUAAACGAUGAGCACUAGUUGUUGGUCCCGAACGGGAUCAGUGACGCAGUUAACGCAAUAAGUGCUCCGCCUGAAUCCCGCGGCCAU